rnacentral:rRNA from 1 species
UGGGGAAUAUUGGACAAUGGGCGCAAGCCUGAUCCAGCAACGCCGCGUGGAGGAUGAAGGUCUUCGGAUCGUAAACUCCUGUCAGGUGGGACGAAGGUUCGUCGGCAAAUAGUUGUCGGACUUGACGGUACCACCAGAGGAAGCCCCGGCUAACUCCGUGCCAGCAGCCGCGGUAAUACGGAGGGGGCGAGCGUUAUUCGGAAUUAUUGGGCGUAAAGGGCGCGUAGGCGGCUUUGUAAGUCAAAGGUGAAAUCCCUCGGCUCAACUGAGGAACUGCCUUUGAAACUGCAAGGCUUGAGGCCGGGAGGGGGUAGCGGAAUUCCCAAUGUAGCGGUGAAAUGCGUAGAUAUUGGGAGGAACACCAGUGGCGAAGGCGGCUACCUGGACCGGUUCUGACGCUGAUGCGCGAAAGCGUGGGUAGCAAACAGGAUUAGAUACCCCUGUAGUCC